rnacentral:lncRNA from 1 species
CUGCCCUGUGAAUCACCAAAAUCUUCCUAAACUCCAUUCCUUGUAGUUAUUCACCGAUGUUCCGUUCUCUUCUCAACUCCAAUUCAAAUCUUCUUCGCAUCUUCUCCUUCAGACCGCUCUCCUCCGCCACCGCCACCUCCACCGUAGAUUACCUCACAAAUACCCUAGGCUUCGCCCGCGAGUCAGCCAUCGCUGUCGCCGAGAAACUCAACAUCAAAACCACCACCAGGCCCGAUUCAGUGGUCCAACUUUUCAAAAGCUAUGGUUUCACCCCAACUCACAUCGCCACCAUCGUUUCCAAGCUUCCUUCUCUCCUCUUAGCCAACCCGGUUAAAACCCUCGCACCCAAGCUUCAAUUCCUCUCCAAUAAUGGCGUCUCCGGCUCUUCCCUCGUCAACAUUGUCUCCACCAACCCUGUGAUACUCAGACGGAGCUUGCAGAACCAAAUCAUCCCCUGCAUUUCCUUCCUCAAAAAGGUCUUACCCACCGAUCACAAAAUCGCUUCUCUCCUCACUGCCAAGCGCGGCACUUGGGUCGUCUACAAGUUUUCUGAACAAAUGGUGCCAAACAUCGAGACUCUGCGAAGCCAUGGUGUGCCGGAGUCGAAUAUUUUGCGGAUGCUGAUCUUGCGACCGCGGACGCUGUCGUUCAAUGCUGAUGAGUUUAAGGCAAUCCUUAAGAGGGUUAAGGAAAUGGGGUUUGAUGAAAAGGGUAUGAUGUUCAUUCAUGGGAUGUGCGCAUUAUGUGGAAUGAAGAAGGCGAAAUGGGAGUCAAAAGUGAGUGUCUUCAGGAGUUUUGGUUGGGGGGAGGAGGAGUUUAUAGCGUUAUUUGUGAAGCAGCCCCAGUUUAUGAGCAACUCAGAAACAAGGAUUAGGAAAUGCUUGGAUUUUCUCAUUAAUGAGUUGAAUUGGAUGCCGGAGGAUAUUUUCAAGUACCCAAUGGUGCUGUUACUUAGCUUGGAGAAGAGAGUGGUUCCCAGGUCUCGUGUCCUUCAGCUUCUGAUUGGAAAGGGUCUUGUGACUAGGAGAAGUAUAGGAAGGGCAUUGAUAAUCUCUGAAGAUCGGUUCAUGAAAGUGUUCAUGUCCAGUUAUGAAAAGAAGAUCCCAGAGCUGUUGGAGGUUUACCAAAGUAAUAAAGUGGGAUUGCUACAGUAAGCAGUUUUAGUUUGAGGAAGGCUUGCAGCUACAAUUUAAGUAAGAUAUGCAUUUCUAAAAGAAUUUGUUGUUUCUUCUUGAGUAUGAUUAGAUUUAUAUGGUUACUUGGAAAAGGAUUUGAAAAAUGAUUCACUUCAAGUAUUUUUAAAUACCAAAAUUUUCUUUUCCACUAACAUUAGUGAUAUUGUAGAUGAGUUUUUGUUUAUCUAAUAUUCAUAAUAUUAGAUAUAUUUUUUCUAGGUCUGGAAAUGAGUAUUGUUAAAAUUUCGGUGAGAAAAUGUAUCCUGAAAGUAUUCCCUUUAGAGCUAACUCAAUUCUGGAUAAGCAAUUUGCAGGAGUACCUCCAAUGAUAUCAUUCUGUUUUAUUUUUUCUUGAACUUUUGUUUAGUAAAUAUCACAGUCAGAAUACUUUUUGUUUAUUUUCCUUGAUUGUACUUGUUGGUUAGAUGAAAAACUUUUAAGUUUCAAAAACUAGCAUUUUUCUUCCAAAUAGUUUGAGAUUCUUUCUUGAUAGAGCCAUUGUUUAAGAGAAGCAGAAGUCUUACAUGCUAUUUUUGGAACUGGAGUUUCAUUUUUAAAUUAAGAGUUUCACCUGAUGUAGAAGAUCCUGCAAUUAAGGAUGAUUCAAUAACAACCUAUAUUUCUGCCUUUUUAAAUCUUGUUUUUGAGCCCACUAAUGCUACUAUUGCUGAUCUCUGCAAUAGUUCCCAAAAUGGCUCUGAUAUUAAUUUUAAGCAGCCAUAAGGAUAUUCGGAUUGCAGAAUUCACCCUCCUCUUUUGAUGCUUGGGGACAUUUAGCCAAUCUGAUGGCCUAGUGGGAAAACUAGCAUGUUUGUUCUAGACCACUAUCUAGGAUGGAUUUUCUGCCUUAAUAUAAUUUUGAUGCUUGCUUUGUGUUUUAUUCUUUUUAUUUUUAUUUAUUUUUCAUUUUCUAUGUAUCUAUUAUGUUAUAUAGACUUCUACCAUUUUUCUAGUUUCUUUAAGUAAUCAUGUGACUUUUGUAGUUGGUUGAAAGGCUGGAGUUUUAAAGGCUGAUCUCUUAGGUGGCUGUAGCUAGUUAGUGGUGUUCUCUGUGAACUUGACAUAAAAAAAGCUUAUGAUCAUAUUAGUGGGAUUUCCUUCUUGUUGGCAUGGAAAGGAUGAGCUUUGGCCUGAAGUGGAUAGGAUGGGAAAAAUGAUGCAUUUCCUUGACUGGAUUCUUAGUUCUUGUUAAUUGGACGCUUGCUAGUUUUUUUAAAGUUUUAGGGGUUUAAGAUAGGGAGAUCCUCUUUCCACUUGUUUGUCUUGAUCAUGCAAUCUCUUAGUUGCCUUUUGAAAAAGGCAGAUCCUCUUUCCACUUGUUUGUUUGUCAUGGCCAUGGAGACUCGUAGUUGCCUUUUAAAAAAACGGGAGAGGGGGUGUCAUCUUGGGGUUAAAGGUGGGAGGGAGAGAGGUAGAGGGGGGAGGAGGUAUUUUAUCUUCUAUUUGUGGAUUAUGCUCUCAUCUUUUGUGAUACUAGCCAAGAACUAGUGACAUUCCUAAGCUAGACUCUCAUGUGGUUUGAGAUAGUUUCUUCACUAAGAAUUAAUUUAGAAAAAGGGGAACUAAUUCCAAUAGAAGUUGCAUCAAAUGUGGAAGAGUUAGUUUUUGGUUUGUGGGUUGGGGGUGCUUCAUGCCACAUAUUUGGGGCUUACUUUAGGUGCCUCUUUUAAAUCAAUCGUAGUAUAGGAUGUAGUGUUAGAGAGAUUUUGAAGAAGACUUACAUUGUGGAAAAGACAAUAUCUUUCAAAAGGGACUAAUCUUUAUUAAUAGCACUUUGUUAAGGUUGACAAUUUAUUUCAUAUCUUUAUUUGUUAUUCCUAUAAAAGUGAGUUUGUGGCUUGAGAAGAUUCAGACCACAUCUUGUGAAUUGGUUAGUUGUUUACGUGGUGGAGUUGGAGUUUUGCAAUGGAAAGGGAAGUUAUUUGAAAAGUGUUAUAGUAGGAAAGUUAGGGAAGAUUUAUGCAAGAGAAGGGAAUAGGCAUGGAGUGGGCCUAUAGAAAACAAUUUGAAAAGAAUAAGAUGUCAUUAAAAGCAGAAAUUGUUUCAUAGUGAGAAAUGGAUGGAGGGUAAAAUUCUAGAAGGAUAGGUGGUAGGGUAAGUCGGCUUUGAGUGAUUCCUUCCAUCUCUUUUUGCUAUUAUCACUACAAAAGACUCUUAAGUAGCGGAUGAGUGGGAGUAGGAGUAAGGAGAUUUUAAAGCCCUUGUUUUAUUAGAUAGUUACAUGACUAGGAAUUCGAAAGAAUGGAUGAAUUCCUCUUAAGAUUACAAACGAAAAUUAUAAGCAAAAAGUGUAGGGAUAAGGUGGUCUACUUAGGAUUGAUGAGUGGUAUGUUUUUUCAAUAAAAUUACUAUACUCUUAUUUGGUAAUGAGGAGAUAUGCUUUCUUCUUGAAAGAUAUUAUUUUGAGCACUUAUUUAUCAACAAAAGAGAGAUUUUUGUAUGGAAAGCAACUUGUGACGACAUACUUACCAUAGUUCAGUGGAAAAAAGAGGUAGAACGUUGAUAAUAAAUGCUUCUCAUGUAAAAAUUAGGAAGAAUCAAUCAACCACAUAUUUCUUCAUUGUACCAAGACAAGGCCAAUAGUCUUCUCAUUGUUUAGUGUAGAAUUGGUGAUGUUGACUUCAACUAAAGAGACCCUUUUAAGUUGGUAGAGAUCCUUUGUGGGGAAGAGAAGAAAGAAAGCAUAGAGGGUUGUCACCUAAUGCAUUUUUUUUUACUGUUUGGAAGGAGAUAAAUAAGAGGUCCUUCGAGGACAUGGAACAAAGGCAUCAAAUGUAUAACUUUCUUUUUUUUUUUUUUUAUAUUUUGGAGUGGGUGAGAAGUGGAAUUAAAUGAAGUGGUAAUGUCUAUGGUAGACUCAACCAAUUCCUUUAGUAUUAUGUAAUGGGAGGUUUUGUUGUUGUUUUUUUUUCUUUUCAAUCUUACCUUUAAUGCCCAUGUAUCUGACUCGUGUAUUGUAGUGCACCAUUGCUCAUGGGCGCUAGUAAUAGAUCUAAUGUUUCAAAUUUCUUUUCCCAGUUUCAAUGGCUUCUAAAGAGAGAGAAAAUCUUAUGGAUGACUUCAAACAACAACUAUGGGAGCUAAAUGUCACGGACUUAGUCGUUCACUAAGCUCGUGCGGCACUUAGACAAGCCAAGACGCUUGAUCUUGCUAAGUCAGCCUUGCUCCCAAUACUUAGCUCACCCGGCUAAGACACUCGCGACUCAAAAGCUUAAGAAGCUUGGUAGGCACUUCCUUAAAGAAUGGAAGCUUUCUAUUACUCAAAGAAGCCUUUACAAGUGCUUGGAUGCUCACUUGCUUGGUGCCUUGGCCAAAUGAGGCCCUCACCUAUUUAUAGGCACCAAUGGAACUCUCUAGAACCUUGGAGGGUUCCUUACAAUUCAUGAAUAUUCUAGAAUGUCCUACACUAUUCUAGAAUAUUCAAGAGACUUCUAGAAUGUCCUACACUAUUCUAGAAUAUUCAAGAGACUUCUAGAUUUCUCUAGAAAGCUUUGGACCCUUCUCAUGCCUUCUACCAUAGUGUAGAGUUGUGUGGACUUCUCUAGGCAUUUCUAGAACCUUCCACACUCUUCCCACCAAUGGCUUAGUGUAGAUGGCUCCAGGAGUCUCCAGAAGCUUCCCUCCUCCUAUAUAAACCCUUGGGGAGGGUCAUUUGAAGCAUCCUGUGACAUAAAGGUAGUUAUUAGUGAAGUUUUUAAUGGCAGUAUUGGGGAAAAUCAAUGGUUAGAGCCCUUGGUGGAGUUUGAUGGUCACAUUGGUGGAAAAUCAAUGGAAACCUUUUCUAUUGGAGUGUGAGUGCACUUUCCUAAUGGAUGAUUGAUGAUAGCUUGUCGAUUGAGUCAAAGAAGGACUUAUUCACUGAAGUUGAGUGUGGGUAUCAAGUGUCAAGUGUAGAGACUAUGUUGUCUAAGUGUGGGCAUUGUUUGUAUUCCUUUAAUAAAGAAAUAAGGAGAAUUUAUAUGAUAUAGUUGGAAAAUACUGCUUUAAAGGGCACCAAGGUUCAGUUUCUCGUACAAAGAUGCUAAAAUAGACAUCAUUAUUUAAAAUCCAUUUAGAAAUUUCAUUGCUUUGCCAAGGAUAUGGAAACAUCAAUAAUAACUACUUUUAGGAAUAAAUAAUGAUACUUGUUAUAAGUGUUAAGAAAUAAAACGUCAAUAAUUUAAUCUUUUAUAAGAGAGUAUAUGAUUGAUUAGUGUCAAAAGAUAAUGCUUUAAACCAUCAACUAGAAUGACAUUUUUUUAUUAAAAAAAAACAUCAUUAAUAAUAUUGCUUUGACCAAUGAUUCAUUCUUUUACAUUAUCUCUAGAGAUAACAAAUUCUUCUUUCUUCUUGGUGAGGGUGAUAACCUUUGACUUAUCUCCUAUCAUAUGAGUACUCACUAUCUAAAAACUACUUUUCAUUCUGUCACACUUACAAGAUAAUUACAUUAUUUUAGAUACCUAUACCUUCUUGGCUCCUUGAGGGUUAGUUUUUUCUAUCAUUUGAAACCCAAAAUGCUUUAGAAUUUGCAACAACAUGAUAUGAUUAUUUUCAAAGGAUGAGUGUUGCUAAUGUGUUUUUUUCUCAUAAAAGUUGCAAAUAGUAAAUGAAUUACUAUUUGAGGAUUCUCUUACAAAAUAAUUUUGAAUUAUUUUUUAUUCCUAGCACCUUUUUAUCAUAAAUGCAUUUUUUACUUGUCAAAAUCAUGUAAAAACCCUUUUACCCAUUUGAAAAUUUUGCAAAAGAAAAUGUUAAUCUUUCUUUCUUUCUUUUGCAAAAUUUCUUUUUCUUUUUCAACAAAGGUUUUUGCUUUUUCAACAUUUUCAAAAUUUUCUUUGUGCUCAUUAAGCUUAUUUUCAAGAUAUGAGAUUUUCUCUUUGAGAGAAGCAUUCCUCAAAUUAAGUGUUUUUUUAAUCAUUAUACAAUUUUUCAAAGGCAUCUUGUAAAUUAUCACAACUUGAGAAAGAGUUUACUUUAUCUUUAUUAUCCUCUAAAGCCAAGAAGCAUAGUUUUGUAACCCCAUUUUCACAUUCUUCCUAUGUAAAUCUUCAUUACUAUCACUCCAUAAUAUCAUUAUUGUGUUUUUCUUCACUUUCUUUACUUUAGUUUUGAAGAGAGGGUGAUCAUACUUGAUGUGCCUCAAUUUCUUUCAUUUGUAACAAAUGUUCUCCUUAUUUUCUUUUUACAAGUUUGAUGAUUAUUUUUUGCUUGAGGCCUUCUUCUUUUGCUCCUUUCAAAUUUCAUGAACGUUUUUAAACUACCUUUAUGAUAGUAAGGCCUUCAAUAUCUUCCUCACUUUCCACUUUUGGUUUUCUUAAAUGAUAGAGGCAUUGAGUGUUAUGGUUCUCUUUUUCUAGUCCUCCACUUCUUGGUGAUUCCUCAAAGUGAUCUCAUGAGUUAUGAGAGAUCUUAUGAACUCUUGUAGGGGAAGCUUAGUAAGGUCUUUUGCUUCUUAAGUUGUGGUGAUCUUAGCUUCCAACUGUUCAACCAAUGACCUUAGAAUUUUCAUCAUUUUUUUGGUUCGAUAUAGACUUUUUUCCCAAAGCUGAAAGAUUGUUAAUGAUAUUGGUGAACCUUGUGAAUAUCUCAACUAUAGUUUCAUUAUUUUUCAUAGAAAGUAAUUCAUGACUACGCACAAGAAUGUUCAUUUUAAAUUCUUUGACUUGAUUUGUUCUUUUAUAGUUUAUCUUAAGAAGUGUUCAUAUAUCUUUUGUUGAUUCAUAUUGAUAAAUCCUAUUAUACUAAUUUCUAUCUACUGCACAAUGAAGAUAAUAAACAACUCUUAUAUUUAAUUAAUCUGUUCUCUUUAUCAUGUUCUUCUAAUUCAUGUCUUAGCUUAAGAAUAAGAAGUUUAUUAUCUAUGUAUUUUGAUUGGCAUAUGAAGCUUCAUUGAUUAACUAUUCCUUUAAGAUGCUUAAGUCCUAUUCUAACGGUCUUGCUUUGAUACUACUUGUGAAAAUAGCCUAAACAAUCCUAGGUUAGCUUUCCAUUACUUAGGAAAUGACCAUAGGAUCUUCUUCACCUUUUUAAAUUUGAUGUAAACCUUUCCCAAAGCUUGGAGAUCAUUAAUGAUGUUAGGGAAACCAAUAAACAUCUCAACAAUGGUUACAUUAUUCUUCAUAAAAAAUAACUCAUAACUAUGUAUAAGGUUGUUUAUAUUAGAUUGUUUGACUUAAUUUAUUCCUUUAUGGGUUAUCUUAAGAAGCAUUCAUAUAUCUUUUUCUAAUUCAUAUUGGCAAACCUGAUUAUACUUAUUUUAUAUAUUGUACUCAUUUUUAUAUAUUGUAUAAUGAAGAUAAUAAAUGACUCUCGCAUUUAAUUGAGUUCUCUUUUAUCAAUUUCAUUACACUCAUGGUGUGGCUUAAGAAUAACAACUCUAUUUUUUACUUUGGUUGGUCUACGAGGCUCAUUAAUGACUUCUCAUAAAUCAUAAUCAAUUGAUUUUAAAAACCAAGUCAUUAUUGUUUCUCAAUUAAAAUAAUCAUAUCCUCAAAAAAUGGGGAUCUAUUAAUUGAAAACCCUUCCAUGAGUUUUCAUUGAUUAAAGUCUUACUCUAAAAGGUCUUACUCUUAUACUACUUAUGAAGACAACCUAAACAAGCAUAAGCAAACACCUAAAGGGGGUGGGGGUGGGGGUGGGGGGCUUAAUGUUGGGUUUAGAGAUUGGAUGUUGGUUUUUUUUUAAUUUUAACAAAUUAAAUUAUAAAUGAUUAAAAAAAAAAAAUGCGAUGCAAGUAAAUAUGGAUAAGGAGAAAGAUACAACUAAAGCAUUUGUUAUGGUUCUGCCUUACCUUUUAAUAGAAGUGUUUCCUCUUCUUCCACCCUAUUUGAUUUAGUUCAUUAUGAUGCGUGGGGAGCUUCUCCAAUUUCUAUAAAAGGAGGGUCUCAAUAUUAUGUUUCCUUCAUUGAUGAUUAUACUUGUUAUUGUUGGGUUUAUCUUAUGAAAUAUCGUUAUGAUUUUUUGAAUAUUUAUAAUGCAUUUCAAGCUGAUGUCAAAACUUGAUAUUAUGCUAUUAUCAAGUGUUUUAAGUGUGAUUUGGGUGGGGAAUAUACUUCCAAUGCAUUUUUUGAAUUACUUGCUUCACAUGGAAUUAUUCACCACACAUCUUGUACUAACACACUAGAGCAAAAUGAGGUUGCUAGAAGGAAACAUAGGCACAUUGUUGAAACUGCUUAUUCUUUUUUAUUAUUUGCAUGUGUUCCUAUUGAAUUUUUUGGGGGAAGCAGUUCUUACUUCAAUUCACUUAAUUAAUAAAUACCUUUUGCCCCACACCUUUGGCCUAUCACCAUUUGAAAAGCUAUAUGGCUAUGCCCAUGAUUACUCUUCCUUAAAAAUCUUUGGUUGUACUUGUUUUUUUUUUCAUCCUCAAGUGCAGUGUAAUAAGUUAUCUACUCACUCCAUCAUUUGUGUUUUUCUAGGAUAUGGUGAAAGUCAAAAGGGAUAUCGUUGCUUUGAUUCAAUUAGUCAUAAAUUAUAUAUUUCUUGUAAUGUUUACUUUCUUAAGCAUAUACCUUUCUUUUCUAUUCUUGUUGAGUCUCAUAAUGUCUCUAAAUCUGAACUUGUUCAUGUUGAUCCUUUCUUGGAUGAUAUAAAUAGUUUUCUUACGUAUAUUAAUGCUUUGGUUCUCGAUCAUUAUGCUCCUUCUCCUUCUACAACUACUCCAACACCUUCUAAGGUUGUGGAUCCUCUUUUCCCACGUUCUUCUCAACAUUUUUGUAAGUUUACUCGAUUACCAAAUUUUGUUUAUUCCUCUUAUUCAGAUUCUUUUACAUUAUUUUUGGCUUUUAUUCACAACCUUUCUAAACCUUUAUUAUAUAGAGAAGUUGUUCUUGAUCCUCUUUUGCAGCAAACUAUGAUUGAAGAACUUUCUACUUUAUAUAAGACCGAUUCUUGGAAUUUAAUACCUUUACCACCUAGUAAGAGUGUCAUUGGCUCUCGUUGAAUCUGUAAAAUCAAAACUAAGUUUGAUGGUUCGAUUAGGUGAUACAAGACUCAAUUGGUUGCUAAGGGGUUUUCUCAACAGUAUGGUAUGGAUUAUGAGAAGACUUUUGCUCUAAUUACAAAGAUGACAACUGUUCAUACUCUUAUUGUAGUUGCUUCUAUUCGUCAGUGGCAUAUAUCUCAAAUGGAUGUUAAAAAUGUCUUCUUAAAUGGUGAUCUUCAAGAAGAAGUCUACAUAGUUCUCCCUCUUGGUGUUUCUCAUAAUCUUGGAGAAGUUUGCAAGCUCAAGAAAGCUUUAUAUAGUCUCAAACAAACACCUCGUGCUUGGUUUGCGAAGUUCUUUGAUGUGCUUACUUCUCUUGGUUUUCACCCUAGUCAUCACGAUCCUAUACUUUUUCUAAAGUGCACCUUUACUAGUCAUAUUCUACUUUGUCUAUAUGUUGAUGAUAUGAAUAUUACAAGUGAUAAUGUUGAUGGGAUUGUAGUGUUGAAAUCCGAUUUAGCCUUUUGUUUUGAAAUGAAGGAUUUAGGUGCUUUACGUUACUUUUUAGGUAUUGAGGUAGUGAUCGAUUGAGUUUUCAUCAUUUAUUGCAUCAAAACACUGUUUUAUAACCUAAUUCACUAUUUUAGAGUAGUUUGUACCUGAUCAAAAAUGGUUUUAGUACAAACUACUGUAAUAUAGUGGUUUUUAGGUGUCGUCCAUUUAUCAAUUAAGGCUUGAAUGAGGGAAAAUAAAUGAUUGUGAUAAAGUGAAAUUGAUUUGACAAUUCAUAGUGAAAAUUCAGAAUAACAAUGAUUUCUAAUUGAGAAAAACAAUAGAAUGUAAAAUAGGAGAAAAUUAAUAAGAAAAAUGAAUUCCCGAAAUUAGGAUUUUUUAGAAAACAAUUUUCAUGGUAAAUGAAUGUUGAGAUCUAUUUUUUAUCAAGUUCGAUUAAAAACCUAAAUUCUCAUCUAAAUCGAUUUUAGAUUUAGCUUUAAGUCUAAACCUAAUUUCUCUUCAAAUUAAGUUAUUUAAUCCAAAAGAUCAAUUUAAACUAUAUAUUCAAUUCAUCUUAAAUUAUCUUCCAAUAAUUUAUACAAUGUAACUAUUCGAUCUCAUUAAAUCCAACUUUAAGAAUUUAAUGAACUUACGUGGUUUGCAAUGUAAUAGUCAUUUAAGAUAAUUUAAAGAGAAAAAUCCUCAAAUUUAAGUAAUCAAUCGAUUGGAUCAAAUUACCUUUACAAUUCAAGCUCAUUUCUCUAAUUCACCAUGAAUCUUGCCUCUAGAUCUUCCUUCCUCUAAGAAAAACGAGAUUUAGCCACUCAUGCUUGGAGAUUUGGUCUUACAAGGCAUAUUUGACUAGUGAGAAAAUGAGGGAAAAUGAAGGAAAAUAGAGAAUUCUAUUAAGAUAGAAAAUAUAGAAAAUUCUACAAUCAAAAGUGUUCAAAAAGUCCUUUAAUGAAAGAUUCAAGUUUUUAUUUAUAAGGUAAGGUCAAGUGGACACUUUGACAUAAUCUAAAAGGUCUUUUGGAACUUUUUCCAUUCAACAAUCUGAAGUUUAACAACAAAAAUAAUCAUUUCCCAUAAGCUUAGCAAUUUUGCAUGGUGACGCAAAAUCAGUGGAGCAACAAUAACAACAAUAGCUUUAUGAAUCAUUUCGCAUGACUACCAAAUUUUCGCAUGGUUAUGCGAAAUCAGCUUACAAAUUCUCUUUAGCUUGCAACACAAAUCCUUCUUUUGGUCCAUUUCGCACGAUCAUGCGAAAUUGCACCAUAUGGUUUUUAAGCUCCUCUUUGGUACUUCAUUUUCUUUUUUGACUCCAUUUUAACUUCCUCCAAUUGACUCCAAAUCCCUAUCCAAUUACAUUACUUCUUCCUUAAAUUGUUAGCCAGUUUGUUACUUCUCCUACUACAGUUCAUAGGGUUACUAUUUUUUGUAUUCUAUGAUAUCUCUGAGGCACUAUAUUUCAAAGUCUUUUAUUUCCAUCCACUUCCUCUUUAGAGCUACGUGGCUAUUUUGAUGCCGACUGAGCUAGUGAUCCUGAAGAUCACAAGUCUAUCACUGGAUUUGUAUAUUUUUAGGAGAUUAUUUUAUGUCUUGGAAGAGCAAGAAACAAACUAUUGUUUCUCGAUCUUCUACAAAUGUGAAGUAUCGUGCCAUGAUGUUUACCACCAAUGGGAUAGUUUGAUUACAUUGGUUACUUGUUGAUAUAGGUGCUUCUCUUUUGUGCCCCACUUUGAUGUAUUGUGACAACAAGAGUGUUAUUCAAAUUGCUCACAAUGAUCCAUUGUUCAUGAAAGGACCAAACAUAUUGAGAUUGAUUGUCACCUCACUUGUCAUCACCUUUAAUAUAAUACUCUUACUUUGCCCUUUGUUCUUUCUUCUUUACAAAUUGCAAAUUUAUUUACCAAGUCAUACCCGUUUCUUCGUUUUCGGUUUUUAGUUGGCAAACUCUUAAUGCUUGUAGCCGCAUUGUGAGUUUGUGGGAGGAUGUUAGAGUUAUUUAUUUAGUAGCAUCUAGUAGUUUUAUUUAGUUAUUUCUUAUUUAGCUACUAUAUUAGAAUUGUUGUAUUUAGAAUUAUUCUCUUUUUAUUUUUUAUUUUUAUUUUUUUAUGUUUUAUUGGGUCUAUUUAAAUCCUAAUGGUGUUGUAUCUUUUUUUUUUCAAGAGAAUUAAUAAUAAGAAAAUCCUAGAUUUUCUUUUUUCUUUUUUUCUCUUUGAAUCUUUUUUUGGAUUUCAACAAUAUCCACAUGUCUUAUGCAUCUUAAUUAGCAUGUGAAGUCCAUUCAUCACCCUGGCUAUGAUGGAAGCUGACUCUAAGACCACCAUUUUAGCCUUUUGAUGAGUCUAUUCCAAUGGCAUGCCAUGUAUUGUGAUCCAAUAUCAUGUAAAUAAGAAGUGGGGUGCAAUCUCUUUGUACACAAGUGAGAUUUAUUGGUCAUCUCCAACUUCCAAACAUGAUUUCUCUAAUCCUUCAUUUUUAAACCCAAAAUUCAAUUGCUUAUAACUCUACCAUUUUAAGUGCAAUUUUGUGCAAACAAUGUAUACUUGCAAAAUUCAUGAUGAGAGCUUUCCAAUGAUAUUAAAACCAUUCAAUUGAAAAGUAGUCACAUCAAAUUUUCACAAUUUUGGGAUUUGAAAACCGGAAAAUUGUUUUCUCAAACUCCAUGUAUGAAAAAAAAUUACCAACUUUUAUGCCAUGUUAUCACAUAUGGUCUUUGCCACAUUACAAAAUUUCACAUCAAAAUAAUGCAUGAAAAAAAUAUUUUGAAAAUAGCCUCAUAAAAUGAUGCAAAAAAUAUGAGUGUUUAUAUAUGAUGUACAUUGUAUUUUGCUUACUAAAAUCACAUUGAGUACAAACAAUUAUCCGAGGCUUCAAUACCGAUUUUGGGAAUUUUAGGAAGCAUUACAAACUCUUAUACCUAUUUGAAAUGCAAAGUUCAAUUCCUUGACAUCUUGUGUGAUAGUCUUUUGAUACUUCUUAAUGACACCAAUUACGUAUAACUUGUAGUGUAGGAUUACUCCUAUAACAAUUAUGAUACUUUCAUAGUUUCAAAGCCGAAAUUUCUUAGAGUGAGAAACUAAGAGAAAGAUUGAGAAUAAAUUUCAUUUUCAAAUUCAAAACUUUUCAUCUAAGAUAAUUAAUUAUCCUUAUAGAGGUUAUAAGGAUUACAAUUAGAUCAAUUGAGAUAGGUGAAGCUUAUCAUUUGUUAUGCACACAAUGAUUAACACUUAAUUAGGCAUUAUUAUGAAGCAAAAAAAAGAGUUUUAACUAAUAAUGGAGUCUAUCUUAAUCGUUCGAUAUGUACAAAGACUAACACUCAAUUGUGCAUUAUCAUGGAGGAUAAAAAGGGAGGUUCAAACUAGUAAUUGAGUACUAAUCAACUUGCAAGCUUGAAUACAUGCUAAGGUCCUUGUCAAGAGACUAAUAGACCUUCUCUAGCAUUUUUACUGUCUAAGAUCUUAAGGGUCAAGUUAAGCAUAUGACAAGUUUUGAAAGUUUACCAUGAGAUGAAGAGGUGGAAAAUUGAAAGAACAUUGGUAGAAACAAAAAUGCCCCCCUUUGGACAAUUUUAGCAAUGAAAAAUGCUUAAGGGAAGGGUGCUCGAAUUAUUUAAAGCCUAAUGCUAGAAUUACCAUAUCCAUCAAAUCAACGAACAGUGCUUUACCCCUAGAUGUCCCAUUAAUUGUUGUGCUUCAACGUAUUUUGGGGAGAACUAGCUAGCUCUAGGUUCGAGUGACAUUUCACCCUUAAUCAUAGCACAUUUGCCGAUUCUUCAACAUCAAUUGAUUUGGACCUCCACUUAGUUUCACCCAACCUUUAUCUUAGUUGUGAAUAGAUCACCUAGGUUUGGGUUCAUAAGCAAUGACAAUUGUCCUAUGAAGACUACAAUUACUUCAUUCAAUAAUUAUUUGAUCAAACUUUAAUGUCAUGAUAUUAAUUAUGAUGGUUACAUGUAUUGAAAAAGAUCAAUUAAUUAAAAAUCAUAUUUCAAAAAUUAAGCCAUAAAAGAAAUAAAGACAAAGGAGUUUUCUAAAAUAUUUAAAAUUAAGAUUUAAGAAGUGAAACAUAUUAGUUUUGUUAUUAUAUGGAUAAGUCGAAUAAUUACGAAUCAUAUUGUAAAAAAAAAAAAAAAAAAAUCAUUUUCUCAAAUUUUUUAAAUUUUGAUAAGAAUUAAAGAACACUAGGUAAGAUUUUGUUUUUUCUUUCAUACGAAAGUUCCUAUAUGUUAUGUAGAAAAUUUUAAUUUUAAAAAUAAAAAUUGGAAAGUAUGAUGGUUACAUUUUGUGGAAAAAUAGAGAAAAAAGAAAAAAAAAUUACAACCAUAAUUGAAUUUGUACCCAUGGAAAAUAAUCGUAAAAUUAGUGUAGACCCCCCUAGAGGUGACAAGUUUCUGCAUUUUGCUAUUAUUAUUUUAUUCAACCCGAGGAUGGGCUGUAUGGAAGGCGGCGAGACAAGACUGGAAAGGAGGACUGAUGUGAGGGGCCUAGGGCAGAGAAAAAGAGAGGCUGCCAGGAGAAAAGGAGAGGAAGGAUUUUUUUGGGGGAAAAACCAGGAAGAGCUAUCGGGGGGGUUUUUCUUCAGGCGGGUUCCAGAGGAGAGACCUUGCUGGCGGCGAGACCACUUCGACUCCGCUGGGGGAAUCUCUCAGGUUUGACUUUCCGGCACUUAGGUUCUCCAUUUUUACAGUCACACCAUGCCUCAUAUUGACCUAUGGCUUUUUUUAUUUUUUUUAUUUUUGCUGUUGGUAUGUGGAUGCUUGUUUUGGCCAUCAAAGGUCUCGUUUGUUUGAUUUUUGCUUCACUUGCAUGAGUUACAUAAGGGAUACGCUGCUGUUCAUGUGUUAAAUCCACUCGAAAUUUCCUCUUAGCUUUCAAAUCUUUUCGAUCUUCAUGCAUCCUCUUCUACCGCCGUCCUAGUUGUUAUUGUCUUGGAGAAGAUUAUCGUCACCCUUAGAUCUCCCUCCAAACCUCCCUCACCCCCUUCCACGACCCCGGCAUCCUCCACUCUGUCGGCCGGCAUUCCGAGGGUCACCUCCGGCGCGCCCAGGAGGCGGCGGCUGCUGCUGCUGCAUGCCGCCAUAGUUGCCCUCCAGUCCGUCGUCGGAUCCAAGCGUCAUUCAGAUGGCGGCGAUUGAGGUGCUGAAACUCCAGCCGGUGCUGGUGAUAUUGGAGGUGCGGAGAUGGAACCUGAGAAGCCCAUGGUUUCUCUUGGGGACCUUUGGGCGGAGAAGUCGUGGGUGGCAGCGCCUGCAUGGGAGAUGCCCGCAAUGGCUAAUGGGCUUGAGGGCUUAGGUGAUUUUGCUGUUGGUUUUGAGCUUGUGAUGAAGCCCAGGCCCAAACGGAAGGAUAAAAAAUAAUAAUGAGGAAAAGAAGGCCUCACUGAGUUAUUCACCCAUUUUAAAAUUAGCCCAUUUGCUUGCAUCUACUUUAUAUGAAUCAUUCUCUUUAAAGCACUAAUUUCUUAAUAAAUUUUUUAACUUCCAAUUCCCAAGCCCAAUUUAUAAAAUUUUAACCUUCAAAUAAUACUUCAAAAUUCCAACAUUUAAAAUUCAAUUCCAAUUUCCGAAAAUUCUCAUACUCACUUUAAUUUAUUUAAUCACUAAUACUUUAUUCAUUUAUUUUAAAACUCCAUUCUUAAUCUAUUUAUUUAAAAUUUCUGUUUGCCGAAUUAAAUUCCGAAAACUCCCAUACUCAUUUUAAUUUAUUUAAUCACUAAUACUUUAUUCAUUUAUUUUUAAAACUCCAUUCUUAAUCUAUUCUUUAAAAUUUCCAUUUACCGAAUUAAAUUCCGAAAAUUCCUAUACUCACUUUAAUUUAUUUAAUCACUAAUACUUUAUUCAUUUAUUUUUAAAACUCCAUUCUUAAUCUAUUCUUUAAAAUUUCCAUUUACCGAAUUAAAUUCCGAAAAUUCCUAUACUCACCUUAAUUUAUUUAAUCACUAAUACUUUAUUCAUUUAUUUUAAAACUCCAUUCUUAAUCUAUUUAUUUAAAAUUUCUGUUUGCCGAAUUAAAUUCCGAAAAUUCUCACUUUAAUUUAUUUAAUCACUAAUACUUUAUUCAUUUAUUUUAAAACUCCAUUCUUAAUCUAUUCUUUAAAAUUUCUGUUUACCGAAUUAAAUUUCUAUUUUUGAAAAUUCCAAUAUUCACAUUAAUCUAUUUAAUUAUUAUUAUUUUAUUUAUUUAUUCUAAAAUUCUAUUUUAAACAAUUCAUUUAAAACUUUCGAUUUCUGAAUUAAAUUUUUAUUUCUGAAAAUUUCACUAUUCGCAUUAAUUUAUUUAAUUAUUAUGUUAUUUAUUUAUUCUAAAAUUCCAUUUUAAACAAUUCAUUAAAAUUUCCGACUUCCGAUUUUAAUUUCUAAUUCCAAAAACGCUAAUAUUCACAUUAAUCUAUUUAAUUAUUAUUAUUUUAUUUAUUUAUUCUAAAAUUCUAUUUUAAACAAUUCAUUUAAAACUUUCGACUUUCGAAUUAAAUUUCUAUUUCUGAAAAUUUCAAUAUUCACAUUAGUUCAUUUAAUUAUUAUUAUUUUAUUUAUUUAUUCUAAAGUUCCGUUUUAAACAACUCAUUAAAAUUUCCGACUUCCGAUUUUAAUUUCUAAUUCCAAAAACGCUAAUAUUCACAUUAAUCUAUUUAAUUAUUAUUAUUUUAUUUAUUUAUUCUAAAAUUCUAUUUUAAACAAUUCAUUUAAAACUUUCGACUUCCGAAUUAAAUUUCUAUUUCUGAAAAUUUCAAUAUUCACAUUAGUUCAUUUAAUUAUUAUUAUUUUAUUUAUUUAUUCUAAAGUUCCGUUUUAAACAACUCAUUAAAAUUUCCGACUUCUGAUUUAAUUUCUAAUUUCAAAAUUCCAAUACUCACAUUAAUCUAUUUAAUUAUUAUUAUUUUAGUUAUUUAUUUCGAAAUUCCAUUUUAAACAAUUCUUCAAAAUUCAAAAUUCGGAACUUAAUUUCCAAUUUCCAAAAUUCUAAUUUCUUUCAAAUUUAAUAUCCAAAAUUCCAAUUCUUAAAUUUAAUUCUCAAGACUCCAAUCUUCAAAUAAUUUUCGAGACUCCGAUUUCCAAAUAAAUAUCCAAAAUCAAGUUUUCACUCCAAUAGUUUUAAUUCCAUUUCGGUUCUUAAAUAAUCUUCUGAUCUUCUUGAUUUUACAUAAGCAAUAAUGAAUUCUUCAUAAUUCUAAAACACGGAAUUUGUGAGACUAGUUCAUGAACAAUAAAUUGGGCUUUGGUGGAGGGGGGCCAUAUGAUUGAUCCCUAUUGAUUGUCAACUGUUGUGCUUGAUAUAUUUUGCUUGAUCUACAUUUUGCGCUCCGAUAUGCAUGAGCUAUAAUUCGUAUUCGUUAAUUGUGUACUAAUCCCGUUUCUUGAUAGCGCAUUGUGGCUCGUGGCUCAGGUACGCAUACACUUUCAUUUCGAUCAUUCUCUAUGCAUGUUCCGAUUUUCAUAUGUGCAUGAUUUGACUUAGGCAUCCAUUGACUUUCUUAUUGAUUGCCACGUCGACUUCAUUUUAUUAGUAGAGACCCGACUUUAGGGGCUUAGAGGGGUGCUACGGUCUUUACCGUACCUUCCCGAUGAGUAACCUGACCCCCGAACCCGAUCCGGUUUUUUUUCACAGACCACCUUUUCCAAAAUAAGGAGUCACACUUAGGGUUUUUCUUUCUUAUUUUGUUUACCCUUUAAAAAUAAAACAAAAAUAAGUGGCGACUCCAAGUCAUUUUCUUAAACAAUAAAAAAAUCAAAUUUUCAAAUGAAAAUCAAGCUCGCCAUCGAGUGGGAAACGCAUUGAGCCGAAAUGCGAGGUCCACAAUUAGCUUUUUAAAAAUGGAUAUUUGGUUAAGAGGUUUAGAAUAAUCCCUAAUUAAAAAAAAACUUUUUUUAAUGACAAAUUAAUCUUAGUUAAAUUCAUAAUAAAUAAAAUUUAAUAAAAAAGAAUAUUGGAGUGAGAAUGAGUAGAUGUGUUAUAGAAAAAUGGUGACAUAAAGAGGAGGAUUUAAGUGGAAAGAUUUCGUGUUUGGAGGCCGAGAAAAUAAAAAAGGACAAAAUUGUUUUUGGAAAACAAAAAAACAAAAAAACAAAAAAAACAAAAAAAUGGGAAAUGAAAAAGAAAGGUAAUUUCGGGAGAGGUUAUUUUGACAGGUUGGAGUGUCAUUUUGAAGCAUGUUUCUGCAAAUCCCUGCCCUGUGAAUCACCAAAAUCUUCCUAAACUCCAUUCCUUGUAGUUAUUCACCAAUGUUCCGUUUUCUCCUCAACUCCAAUUCAACUCUUCUUCGCAUCUUCUCCUUCAGACCGCUCUCCUCCGCCACCGCCACCUCCACCGUAGAUUACCUCACAAAUACCCUGGGCUUUGCCCGCGAGUCAGCCGUCGCUGUCGCCGAGGAACUCAACAUCAAAACCACCACCAGGCCCGAUUUAGUUGUCCAACUUUUCAAAAGCUACGGUUUCACCCCAACUCACAUCGCCACCAUCGU